ACGGGUGAGUAAUGCUUGGGAACUUGCCUUUAGGUGGGGGAUAACAGUUGGAAACGACUGCUAAUACCGCAUAAUGUCUACGGACCAAAGGGGGCUUCGGCUCUCGCCUUGAGAGAGGCCCAAGUGAGAUUAGCUAGUUGGUGGGGUAAAGGCCUACCAAGGCAACGAUCUCUAGCUGUUCUGAGAGGAAGAUCAGCCACACUGGGACUGAGACACGGCCCAGACUCCUACGGGAGGCAGCAGUGGGGAAUAUUGCACAAUGGGGGAAACCCUGAUGCAGCCAUGCCGCGUGUGUGAAGAAGGCCUUCGGGUUGUAAAGCACUUUCAGUUGUGAGGAAAGGUUGGUAGUUAAUACCUGCCAGCUGUGACGUUAACAACAGGAGAAGCACCGGCUAACUCCGUGCCAGCAGCCGCGGUAAUACGGAGGGUGCGAGCGUUAAUCGGAAUUACUGGGCGUAAAGCGCACGCAGGCGGCUUGUUAAGCUAGAGGUGAAAGCCCCGCGCUCAACGUGGGAACUGCCUUUAGAACUGGCAGGCUAGAGUCUUGGAG
rnacentral:rRNA from 1 species